rnacentral:lncRNA from 1 species
UGCCUUGAGAGGUACUGUAUUAUUAAUGUUAUUUUGCACCAUUAAAACCUUACUCCACAUUAAAAAAUCUUCCCCCUUCUCUGAAUUCUCCACUCUUUAUUAAGCCCCCCGCCCCCCUCCUUUCUUAAGACACCUUGCCCUUCCUAUUAAGAUCCUUCCUCUCUAUUUAGAGGCUCUUCUCGACUUCUCUCCCUAUUUAUUCUCUCUCUCUCUCUCUCUCUCUCUCUCUCUCUCUCUCUCUCUCUCUCUCUCUCUCUCUCUCCCUCUCUCUCUCUCUCUCUCUCUCUCUCUCUCUCUCUCUCUCUCUCUCUCUCUCUCUCUCUCUCUCUCUCUCUCUCUCUCUCUC